GUUCCAGACCCAGAACUCAGCUGGGGGCUCGGAGCAGGGCAGCAGCAGAAGCUGCACAUGGUGGAUGAAGACCUGAUCAUUGAAGUUCACCAGUUAUUUUUCUCAAGAAUAUGAAUAACAAUGGUAUUUGCACUCAUUAUAGUUUUAGAAUGGCUUGGCAUAAUUUUCAUGCAUUCUGUGGACGAUGAACACAAAUGCAGCUGUGGCUGUGUCUGGCCUGUGUGUGUUGAACGCGUUCCUGCCGUGCGGGUGCCGCCUACCCAGCGGAGCCUCAGAGUCUGAGUUCUCAAUGAGUCAACAUUUUGGGUGUGUAUGCCAAGAGGUGACACGAAACAGAAGUUGGGAUCACUGUGGUCAACCUGAGCAUGUUGGAAACCAAGGAGAGGCUGAUGUUAAUGUUGGAUUUUUGUGAAAAAAGAUUCCUUUCAA